AACGAACGCUGGCGGCAGGCCUAACACAUGCAAGUCGAGCGAAGCCUUCGGGCUUAGCGGCGGACGGGUGAGUAACGCGUGGGAACGUGCCCUUUGGUACGGAAUAGCCCCGGGAAACUGGGAGUAAUACCGUAUGUGGUCGAGAGAUGAAAGAUUUAUCGCCAAAGGAUCGGCCCGCGUUGGAUUAGGUAGUUGGUGGGGUAAUGGCCUACCAAGCCGACGAUCCAUAGCUGGUUUGAGAGGAUGAUCAGCCACACUGGGACUGAGACACGGCCCAGACUCCUACGGGAGGCAGCAGUGGGGAAUCUUAGACAAUGGGGGAAACCCUGAUCUAGCCAUGCCGCGUGACCGAUGAAGGCCUUAGGGUUGUAAAGAUCUUUCAGUGGGGAAGAUAAUGACUGUACCCACAGAAGAAGCCCCGGCUAACUCCGUGCCAGCCGCCGCAGUAAAAC
rnacentral:rRNA from 1 species